rnacentral:rRNA from 1 species
GACGAACGCUGGCGGCGUGCUUAACACAUGCAAGUCGAACGGAAAGGCCCUGCUUUUGUGGGGUGCUCGAGUGGCGAACGGGUGAGUAACACGUGAGUAACCUGCCCUUGACUUUGGGAUAACUUCAGGAAACUGGGGCUAAUACAGGAUAGGAGCUCCUGCUGCAUGGUGGGGGUUGGAAAGUUUCGGCGGUUGGGGAUGGACUCGCGGCUUAUCAGCUUGUUGGUGGGGUAGUGGCUUACCAAGGCUUUGACGGGUAGCCGGCCUGAGAGGGUGACCGGCCACAUUGGGACUGAGAUACGGCCCAGACUCCUACGGGAGGCAGCAGUGGGGAAUAUGGCACAAUGGGCGGAAGCCUGAUGCAGCAACGCCGCGUUCGGGAUGACGGCCUUCGGGUUGUAAACCGCUUUCGCCUGUGACGAAGCGGGAGUGACGGUAAUGGGUAAAGAAGCACCGGCUAACUACGUG